CGAAAUUUUUCUGAAGGCAAGGACACACAUUUACAAUCUCCUUUGACCUAUGAUGUGUUAUAGGCCGUGUAAAUGUUCUUUCAGUCAGGUGUGAGGCUUGUUGAAGUUGUAGCACAAGUUGUCUCUCUCAGAUGUGCAUGUUUUUCUUCUAGAACCGCGUCCUCGAUCAAAGUAACCAGUCUUCUGGUAACGACGGUGAAUUCUGGAGACUAAUGUGUUCUCUGGCACAUCGUAGACGGGCUGCGUGGUGAGCUAGGGUUAAUUAAUUUGGGGCCAGUAGCAAACAUUUUUGCUCCAGGUGAGCUGCCCUAAAUCAUCUUCUGACUGUAUAACCAACCAUAGCCACUCCUCGCGUUUCUCCGACAAUGAAUCGGUCAUCUCUCUCAAAUGGCCAUUUUUUUUUAGAACUGCGUCUUUAAUAAAAGUUACCGGUCAUCUGUUCAUGUUCAGCCAUGUUCAGCUAUUUCUCAUUGACUCUGGCCUUGUCGCUUGAGCAGCUUUAUCAUUUGGUUUGUCCAUUUUCAGAUGGGGUUCUCGUUUAUUGUUAAGCGAUGUGUAUAACCUUUUAGAGUGUAAGUUACCUCUAAUUACCAUUAUUUUAAACAAUCAUAAAAAGGGUGGUUACCGGUCACAAGGCGAAUACAAUAAGUCCUAGGGUUUUACUAAGAAAAUUUUGAGCUCAAUUGUUGUAUACAGUGAGUUACGGUUGCAGAAUUUAUAAUAUGAAUCGAUUUUUCUGCUCACGAGCAUAUAUCAGACUCUAAAAAAUUUUGUAGGUGUUGAUAUUUUUUCUAGUUUGUAAAUUUAUUAAUUAGAUAACUCUUAUUAGAUCUGAUAUCACAUAAAAGACCGCAUAAGAGCUAUUCCUGUAAAAUCAAACGCAUUUCAAAGAAAAAAAGGGGCAUAUGGUGAAAUAAUUAUUUUUAAGAAAUAAUGAAAUUCAGUCAAUUCAAUCAGUAUAAUGAAUACCAAACAUGUUUCGAUCCAUGGCUAAAAAUGAAAAAAUAUUUAAAUCAUAAAUAUGAUUUUUAUUCUCUAUAAAUCUAUAACUAUUGUCAGGAUUUCAUAUUUUAACGAUUACUAAUCUGUCUUUGAACGCAACGCGCGAAUAGUUUACGAAAAUAUCAUUAUUCAUUCAGUAGAUAUGGAAAAAGCGUUCUUUUGAUAUGUGAAUAACUUUUUUAAUCUUUAUAACCUAAAUUCGAUGGUUUUACUAUGCUAUUUGUUGAGCUUUCUCGAUGGUGCUUUAUGAUCCACAGUCCCCGUACGCAGUGUCUAGCUUCACUUUCAUUUGCGUUGGCUUACUGCUUUUCAAAAUCAAUUAUUUAAUAACACCUACCCACACUUAUAUAUACGUUUGUCAAAUAGAAUCUAGAUGUUUGAAUGGGGUGAUAUAUUCAGGUCGAAGUGGGAAACUUUUCAGUGAACCUCCGUAUAUUUGUUCCAUAUAACGAUUAUACUCACCCUCUUUAGAAAAUUGUUCAAAAUUACAGUAAACUGCAGGCACUAGGUGUGACCCUCAUUGUGUUUGAUAUUGAUAGUCACUAUGACUUCCUUGGAAGUACAUUUUUGUAAUUCCUAUAUGCUCAUGAUCGAAUGAAAAACACAAAAAAUGCUCUUUGUUUAAAAAAAAUGAAAUUAAUAUUCAAAAUUAGAGAAAAGCCUGUUAGAUCAUUUGACAAAUUAUGAUAUUUGAAAUUUUGAAUAAUGUCCUGCACCGCUUCCAUAAAUAUAUAUUGAGAUUACCGUAAAACGGCAUCCAGUGAAUCCGCUUCCUAGAGCAUCCCGACGUCGACCGCUUUGGCCGACGCUACAAGUGGCGCCUCACGGCGGAGUAAUGCCGCACCAACCGCCCUACUUGAAGUAAUGUACACUUAAAAAGUCAGAAAAGUUAAUUAAUUAUUUUAAACAGUUUGGAAUGUGCUUGAGCACGAUUUCCCUUUUGAAUGAUAAUGUGAAAAGUUAGCGGAAAACUUUCUCGUCUUUAUUUAUUAGAUUUUCUUUUUAAGUUGUACGCCGCGCCGAGGUUUAGAACAGCUGUUUUAAGGUUUGUUGGGAAAAUCUGAUUACAAUAAUUUUGAUAUUGGGAAAUUACAUACUUUUAUGAAACAAUUGUAUUUUUGAGAAUUUAACUGAUUACGUUUAUUGUAAUUUUAUGUACAAAUUUAGAGGUUUCAUAAAAAAAUGCUGUCAAUCAUAAAAAUAAACCUUAACUAUAUUGGAUUGAAAUCAUGGAGUUGUACUGAAAAUAAUGCACAAUUAUUUCCUCGUGUGAGUCGUGAAUCUCAUUAUUCACUAUUCGCUAUCCCUAUCUUCUAUAUGUCUUUCUUAAAUGCAUCUAGCCAUUUCCUAGCAUGGACGCACUCUUCUUCGUUUUACGUCUUCUCCACUUUUUAACACUGGCUGUUACCCUCAACCAACGCAGUUUUUCUUAUAGUGAUAUUGUUGAAAUGAGAAAGAAUGUUUGCCUUGUUAUGUAAUAGAUUAAACACGAUUCCACAAAUCAGUUUAGUGGAUAGUAGACAUUGAAACUCUACAGGCCUUCGCUACAAAGCUUGAUAUGAUUUAGGAUCCAAGAAUAUAUGGGUGAUUCCAUUAUAACUGUGAUAUUCAAUGUCCUGUAUUGUUUUUUUGUACUAGUCAUUAAUUAAUAAUCAAUUAAUAAAAAUUUUGUGUUAAUUGAAUAAUUCUUAAGAUAUUUAAACAUUAUUUUUAUACAAUAUAACUUGCCACUUAAAGAAAACUUAUACUACAUCACUUGAAUGUCAGUACCGUGUCAUGUCCAUUCCUAGAAUUUACCGAUAAAUUAUUAAUUUUUUUUUGUCGUAACAAAUGAUUUAAACUAAUUACCUUAUAAAUUCUAAUGUUUAUGAUCAAACUGAGGAAAAUUGAUGCACUUGUUGUUUAAUAUCUUAAGUUACCAUGUCAGUACCGUGGAUAAAUGAGUCAGUACCGUGGAACUCAAAAUCCGACAUUUGUGUCUUGCUCGUGAUACUUUGAAGUUGUAGUAAAUUCCUCUUAGAGUUUUAUUUUUACAGUAAAAUAGAUGAAUAAUAUGCAUAAAAAAGUUAGAAAAGUUAAAUUUUAAAAUCUUGAAAUUUUGAAUACAAAAAAUCACAGUUAGAACGGAAUCACCCAUAUAACCCACCUGUAAUAUAAAAAAUAAUCUAUCAUGUCACAAGUCAUUGAUUGUAGUAGUUGAUUCACAAUUUAUCUUCUAGGUAAGUUUUGUAAAUCUGUGAAAAAAAAUAUAUAUGUUUCUCGGGAAAGUUAUUGUAAUAUUAAAAAAAGAAUGAUAGGAG